rnacentral:lncRNA from 1 species
AAACCAGAAGAGAAGAGAAACCAAGGAAGAACAAACCCUCGGUGGGGAAAAUCAAAGAGAAAGUGUUGGAAUUCAAGGAUUUGAUCAAGCAAAGGUAAAAUUUCUUUGAUUUUGCUAGUGAUUUACCUUACCCAUGCCUUUCUCCUUAAUUUCCAUGGUUGGAUUGUAUGUUUUCAUGGGGAAAUCAUGGCUGGCCGAAUGGGUUUGGUGAGAGAAAUGAUGUUGGAAUUGUUUGAUUUUGAGUUAUGUUGGUGUUUAGAGUUAGUUAAGCAUGUUUAGAAACAAAACAACAAGAAAAGAAUCCAUUUUUCCCAUGAACCUUCAAUGGCCGAACCCUAUGUGAAGUGUAGAAGUAAUGAAUUGAUUUUGUGAUCAAGUGAAUUGGUUGAAAAAAUGAUGAAAUGAUGAUUUAUAGUAAGAAAAUGGAAUGGGAAAAUUUUUAGUGAUAGUGCCCCACAAUGGCCGAAAUUUUCAAGAAGAAUUGUGAGGCUUGUUAGGCUGAAUUUUAGAUUAUUGAAAUUGUAUUUAGUGAAUUGAAAUAUGAGAAAUGAAAUGGAGCAAUUUGGAGCCAAAUCAGACACAAUUGUCAUUUAAUCGGGUAAUAGGCCGAAUUAGGUCAGCACUGCAUUUAAGCGGUAGUCGGAUAAGUUGCAUAUCAUAUCAUGCAUAUACAUCGAGUCUGAAUUAAUUUUAUAAUGGUCAAGUAUUAAUGUGGUGAAUUAUGUAUUGUACAUUGUUGAUAGGUGGUGAGUAAAUUACACUAGUAAAAGUACAGAGAUUGUGCUUAAAGACUGGGAUUAGGAGUACAUCGACUCCUAGAACUGUGAGUAAACUUAUUAUCAUCUUAAUUAUCUAGAGUAGUUUUAUACAAUUGUGUGAUUUUAUAGAAAAUGGGUUUAAAUGGUAAAUUGCUAUGUUUUAGGAGAAAUUGUGAUUUUAUAAAAUGAUUUUAUAAAUUUUCUGAAAAAUUGAAUAUUGGUUUUGAAAAUAGAGUAAUUAGAGACUGUCUGCUUGUGUUAUAAAUUAUGUUUUAAAUUAUAUGGCUUAUAGCAAUAUGUGAGCAUGAAUGGCAAAGUCGGUAUUUGUAUCAAAAUUAUAUAUACUAUGUAUUCAGCCUUGAGAGGCUAGAUUGCGAUAAAUUACCAUGUCAUGCAAAUAAGGAUUUUAUAAAUCAGGUGGUAGAUAAAAUAAUCUAUAAUCCCUACAAUGGAGGUUCUGUGGACCAGCCUAAGAGAGGGGGCACAGAAUCAGAUAUACCUUACCUCGAUCGGAGAGUCGUGUGAAGGGUGUCUCUAGAGGUAAAGAUUUGAGUGCACUUCACGUGGACCACCGCGUGAGAGUGAGACUCAGCCAACGCCAAGGCAUGGCUAGAAUUUCGAAUGUAAAGACAUUUAACCGCCUUGGUGGUCUUAGUCAAAUGCCUAGGCCAAGGCAUCCCCGGGAAUGAUUUUGGCAGGAGCCAAGUUUUGUGAGAUAUAUAAGCCAUGUUGAUUAAUUGAGUAAACUGAAAAUUCAUGUUAUGAAACAUAUAUUGGAAAAGAAUAUUUUAAUUCGUCUCCAUUUACUCGCCUUUAGAUAGUUUAGAUGGUGUCUAUUUACUCACUGGGAUUUUAUAAUCUCACCACCCUCAUUUCCUCACAUUUCAGGCUCGGGGAAUUUCAUAGUUAGCUGACUUUGACAAGGACCUUCAUUUGGACUUGAAUCGGCAAAAGUUGUAGGUUUUCAGCUUUCGAUGCAUUUUAAUUUGAUGUGGGCCCACGUGUUGCUGUAAAAGUAAUUUUAUACUUUGGUUAUUUGCUUUAUAGUAUAUAUGAAUAUAAUUAACUUUUACGCUAUAAGAAUUAUUUACC